UACGGAGGAUCCGAGCGUUAUCCGGAUUUAUUGGGUUUAAAGGGUGCGUAGGCGGCCUUUUAAGUCAGCGGUGAAAGUCUGUGGCUCAACCAUAGAAUUGCCGUUGAAACUGGGGGGCUGGAGUUGGAGAGAAGUACGCGGAAUGCGCGGUGUAGCGGUGAAAUGCGUAGAUAUAAGGAAGAACACCAGUGGCGAAGGCGGAUGACUGGACGGCAACUGACGGUGAGGCGCGAAAGCGUGGGGAGCAAACAGG
rnacentral:rRNA from 1 species